rnacentral:rRNA from 1 species
CCUACGGGUGGCUGCAGUGAGGAAUAUUGGUCAAUGGACGCAAGUCUGAACCAGCCAUGCAGCGUGCAGGAAGACGGCUCUAUGGGUUGUAAACUGCUUUUGUGCGAGGAUAAACGCAGAUACGCGUAUCUGUCUGAAAGUAUCGUACGAAUAAGGAUCGGCUAACUCCGUGCCAGCAGCCGCGGUAAUACGGAGUGUUCGAGCGUUAUCCGGAUUUAUUGGGUUUAAAGGGUGCGUAGGCGGUCGGAUAAGUUAGAGGUGAAAUCCCGAGGCUCAACUUCGGAAUUGCCUCUGAUACUGUUCGGCUAGAGAGUAGUGGCGGUAGGCGGAAUGUAUGGUGUAGCGGUGAAAUGCUUAGAGAUCAUACAGAACACCGAUUGCGAAGGCAGCGUACGAAGCCACUUCUGACGCUGAGGCACGAAAGCGCGGGGAGCAAACAGGAUUAGAUACCCUGGUAGUC